rnacentral:tRNA from 1 species
GGGGUUGUGGCUCAGUGGCAGAGUGCUUGUCUAGCACAUGUGAGGCACUGGGUUCGAUCCCCAGCACCACA